UGAACCCCAUGGUUCCUGUGAGAUGACUUUGGGCUGUUGGGUUGGACACUGCCCUCCAACAGAGAAACAGAAAUGACAGCACAAUGGAAUUCUUAGAGGAAUGAUCCAGGAGAGAAGUAAGCAUUGCUGGAAUGACUUCCUUGAGUAGACAGAGAAGGUGAAAUCUCCUUCACAAGAAAUGGGAUUGACUUUAAGAAAGUGUCCAGCAAAAGUUUGCCUACUAAUAUGAUUGCUUGGCACAAUUAAGCAUUUGCUGAGGAUUGU